rnacentral:lncRNA from 10 species
GUCAGUUGGUGACCAGGUAGAUGGACAUUAAACAUUGGGGAUGAAAACUCGAAUUGCUGACAAGUUUUUGGUGUGAGCAUCACAUCUCAACAACUAGAGUGAAGAAAUAAUUAUCUAGGAUGGCAAUGAAACACACUGAUCCUACAUUUAUAAUAUGGAUAAAAGAAGAAAAAAAAGACAGGAUCAAAAGUGGAUUUUAGUUGUAAACUCAGCCAUGGCAGCAAUACAAUGAAUCCACUGAAUGCAUCCUUCAUUUGACAGUAUUCAUAUUUCACCAUGGGAUUUGGAGUGGUCCAUCCAAUCAAAUAGCAGCAAGUACCUUCAGAAAAACCGACCUGAUAUCUGCUCACAAGUUUUCCA